UUGAUUCAUUUUUGCUUUAUGCCACUCAGAAUACGUAAAAAGACAAGAGUUUGUGGUCUCCGGCGGGCGCCUGAGCCCGGGCAGCGAGUGCGCCGGGGCGUUCCGCCGAAGCAACGAUAGGUAUGUUCACAGGGGUUUGGGAGUUGUAAACUCGGUAAUGAUCCCUCCGCUGGUUCACCAACGGAGA
rnacentral:misc_RNA from 1 species